GCCGCUGCCUCCCAUCCGGUCGUGUCUGAGCUACAGCUUCAUCAAAUGCGUUUUUGAGGCAGGAAGAAAAUGUACGAAUAUGAACUGACUACUCAGUCCAGAUAGUUCAUACACAGGCAUGUUUGCUGUCUGUGAAAACCUCCAAGGGUGAGUAUUGUUUGGUCCGUUUUCCCAGGUGAGAAAACAGGAUGCCACAUAAGUCACGUAACUUGGCGGAGAGUUUGAAACGUCUUUGAUGCCAGAGUCACCAGUUUAUCAGCUCUUUUCCUUUCUUUUUUCUUUUCUUUUCUUUUCUUUUCUUUUCUUUUUUUCUUUUCUUUUCUUUCUUUUCUUUUCUUUUUUUCUUUUCUUUUCUUUUUUUCUUUUUUUCUUUUCUUUUUUUUUUGCAAUUGGAUAAAUAUUUAUGGAGGUUUUGGUAGGUGGACUCCUGGCCUAGUGGGAGAAACAAAUAAGAAGUCUCAGCUCGCAGUUAUAAGGGGGUUUCAAGGAGGGAGCCCGUGAUAAGUAAAGUUGAAAUUGGCCUCCAGAGAGAGAGGUGGGAGGUGGAAGGGAGAGAGCUCUGCUGGAGGUAACACGGGGUCGUGGCUGUAGAGGACCAGCUGUGGGUUUCCAGGUGGAGAUGUAGAUGGGCGGCUGGGACAGUGGUGGGCCUCGUGCGCUGACCAGAGUGUUCAGAGCGUCGAGAUGCAGAGAGCUUUACGCUCAACGCUGGGACCUUGAAGAAGUCACCAAGGAGUAUCCUUGUCUGGUCCUGCCCCAUUAUGACUUAGUGCGAUGCCCCAUUAUGACUUAGUGUGAUGCCCUUGGGGCCCUAAGAGCCCUCUGUUAGCGUGACAAGAAGACAGUGAUUGGAUUCGCUUAGGAAUGUCAGCAGAAGGUCCACAGAGAGGCUUACAUUUUUUUGAGUUUCAAUUUUCUUAACGUGCAGUGUAUUGUUAGUUGCAGGGGUAGAGCUCAGUGCUUCGUCUGUUGUGUAUGAACCCGGGGCUCACCCCAUCACCUGCCCUCCUUCAUGCCCAUUGCCCAGUCACCCCAUCUGCUCACCCACCUCUCCUCCAGCAACCAAGAGGUCGUAUCGUUGAGCUGGGUCUGGAAGAGUUGUUACUGUGCGUGUAUGUGUGUGGUGAAGAGUUUCUCAAAUUUUUUAAUCUCAGGACUCCUCAACCCUCCUCUCAGAAUCUCAGGUUCCACCUUACCUGGAAAUGAUGGAACAUCUGCAGAGUUAUAGAUUCUCGGCGAACUUCACUGUCUCUUGUGUGGACAAUCAUUCACGCCUUGCCUACUGACCCUACAGCUCCUGCGUGGUUUCAUUCUGUCUCAGUCAGUUUGGGUUGCUGUAAAGAAAAAAAAAUGACACCUACUGGGUGGCUUAAACAUCCAAUGUGUAUUUUUCAUGGAUCUGCAGGCUGGAAGUGCAAGAUCGGAGUGUGAGGAUGGUCAGGUUCUUGGUGAGGGCUCUUUUUCUGUUGUAUAGAUGACCACCUUCUUGUUUUGUCCCCUCAU
ensembl:lncRNA